GCCGUUGUAGCACAAAGGUAGUGCAUUGCUUUCCUAAUUUGGAAACUACCACAGGCAAAGGCUGUGGGUUCGAGUCCCAUCAACGGUU